rnacentral:rRNA from 1 species
CGCACAGUAAACGAUGAAUACUAGCUGUUGGCGAUAGACAGUCAGCGGCGCAAGCGAAAGCGUUAAGUAUUCCACCUGGGGAGUACGCCGGCAACGGUGAAACUCAAAGGAAUUGACGGGGGCCCGCACAAGCGGAGGAACAUGUGGUUUAAUUCGAUGAUACGCGAGGAACCUUACCCGGGCUUGAAUUGCAGAGGAAUAUGCCUAAGAGGGCAUAGCCGCAAGGUCUCUGUGAAGGUGC